ACGAACGCUGGCGGCGUGCCUAACACAUGCAAGUCAACUUGACUGAAAGGAGCAAAUCUGACAGUAGAGUGGCGCAAGGGUGCGUAACGCGUAAGUAACUUGCCCAAGGUAAGGAAUAACGUCGAGAAAUCGGCGCUAAUACCUCAUAAUGCAGCGGAUCCGCAUGGAUAUGUUGUUAAAGGUUUACCGCCUUGGGAUAGGCUUGCGUCUGAUUAGCUAGUUGGUGUGGUAACGGCACACCAAGGCUACGAUCAGUAACUGGUCUGAGAGGAUGAUCAGUCACACUGGAACUGAGACACGGUCCAGACUCCUACGGGAGGCAGCAGUGAGGAAUAUUGGGCAAUGCUCGAAAGAGUGACCCAGCAACGCCGCGUGGAGGAUGAAGGUAUUCUAUAUCGUAAACUCCUGUGAGAGCAGACGAAAGACAGAUUAUUAAUCUGGAUGGCUGUAUGCUCAGAGGAAGCCCCGGCUAACUACGUG
rnacentral:rRNA from 1 species